CGCUCCCAGAGAAAAUCCGGACAGGGUUUGCUUCUUGUUAUAUAAAUAUUUAAGGGAAGGGCUAGAGAUGCUCUAACCACGCGGCCUGCAUCUAGCAUUCACAACAAAACAUGGCCACAUCAAGAACUGAAUUCACCAGAUUUCAUCACACACUAAAAGCCGAUCGGCCAUUCAAAUCGUCAUAUAGUUUCUAUUCAGAAGGGAACUGAUUAAAAGUGCACAUUCAGAAAGACACAUCCACACCGGAAUCCAUCCAUUCAAUCAGAAAGAAAGAAAGAAACAAUCACCAUAUAGUAUAUACACAGGGACACGAUCAAUUAACAGGAAUAGAGCAGUAUACACACAGGGGCACGAUGAAUUAACAGGAGCAGAGCAGAUGCAGCUUUGAAGGUAAUUGCGCAACAGCAGCGGAUGUAGAAGGGUGCGGACGGCUGACCUCACUUGCACGCCGUCUUAUUUGCAAAUGAAUGAGAUGAGUCCGGAUCAGACCACGAUCCAGUCCUCCUCCACGUCGGAGAACUCGAGCGCUAUGGUGAUGCCCCGCACCACGCAGAACCCGUCGUCGUCGUCCUCCUCGUCCUCGUCGACAUCGUCGGUAAUUUCAGCAUCUUGCUCCUAGAUUUUGUCGGUGUCCGCCGCUGCCGCCGUGCCGUCUGCGUCGUCUUUUUGACCGCCCGGCGCGGCCUGGAGGCCGAGGACGAGGUCGUAUAGGUCAGAGAUCCCUCUCGGGGCGGCAACUUCGAGAUCGGCGCCCCUGUAGUUGUACCCGUCCGUGGCCGCCGGGCCGUCCCCGGCGCCGCCGACGACACGCCAGGAGACGAGGCGGUGGUUGAGCGCGACGUCGGCGGCACGCAGCUUGCGCGCGCCCUUGGCCUUGUCCCGCGCCUUGGUGGUGGCGUCGGCGAGUGGGUGCUGAUGGCACCCCGCGCACCGCACUGCCCCUACACAAAAACGAAACCUUAUCUUAAGAGAAGGAUCUCGGGUGGAAUACUCCAAAACGCUAGGCUCUUUUUGUAAAAACGAAACGUUUUUCUGGUUAGUCACUUAAAUAAGGACGACGGAUUAAUUACUUCAAAAGAGAGGGAUUUUUUCGCAAAAUAUCCUGUAGCUGCUUUAUUAUUGAAAAAAAAGAUACGUGUACUCUACAGUAGAUGCUGUGGUGUGGCAGCACGUGUAUGAGAUGCAUUGUUUGCCCAACAGAUCAACCAUGCAGGCUCAAUUUGUGCAAAGCAGCCUAGUCGACUCCAAUAGUCCACGCGCCGUUGCAAUCGAUCGCACGUCACGUGCACCGUCUUCCUCCAGUCCGGCGCAGAUGACAAAAUUAAGCGUCCAUGCAUUCGCCCGCAUGUCGCGCGCCACCGCUGACAAAUUAAGAUGCCGACGUCAAAGAUAGUCACCGCCUCCGCAUGGCUGUAUAACUGCACCACCGUCUCGGUCUUCCUACGUCAAAAGUUCGCCGCGCUCGCGCUCGCUACGCACCUACCCUGCAUGUGAACGAGCACGAACGCAGCAACGCGACAUGGCCCGUGCUCCCGUCCCUGCCCUCGCCGGAUGCAUCCUCGUCGUCGCCGCCGUGCUCGCGGUGGCGGCCUCCCCCGUCCUCGCGGCGGCCCCGCCGGCUGCCUCUCCGGAGAAGUCUAAGGCCACGUCGUUGCCGGCCGCCGCGCUGUCGAAGGCGCACGGCGCGGCGGUCGGGGUGGUCAACACCCUCGAGGCUGGCGUGUCCGGGACCAUUGGGAUGCUGAAGAGCACGCUGGGAGGACACGGUAAGGGUAAGGCCUCCGCUGUCGCCGGUGCUCCGGGGGGAGACGCGACUGCCAUGGCCCCAGCUGCCGUACGCGGCCGGCGGCAUGGCGCGGCCGCGCCGACCAUGGCCCCUGCCGCUUCCGCCCCUGAACACGGCGCACAUGCCAGGAGCCCUGCCGCUGGCGUCCGAGAGUAUGGCUCGGCAGCCAUGGCCCCUGCCGCCGGCGCCCCGGGGUAUGGCUCAGCAGCUAUGGGCCCUGCCUCUGGCGUUCCGAAGUCCGCCAUGGGCCCUGCCUCCGGCGCUCCGAAGUCCGCCAUGGGCCCCGACGCCAAAUCUCCGGGGCACCACGCUUUCGUCAUGGAUAUAGGUGGCGCCUCUGGUCCUACCGCCGAGAGCGAGGAGGCCCCAGCGGGCGCCCCCGACGCCAAGGCCAGGGCCAGGGCCCCUGGCCACUCCGUCUCUCAAGCGCCGAGCGCCGCCGGCCCUGGAUCGAAAGGGUCCAACGAAGAAACCGCCUUCCCGCCUGACACGCCCAUUGCCAGCGAGGCCCCCAUGGCCGAGGUCACCAGUUCCACCGACAAAAGCUCGCCGGCGACCGAAGAAACCCCCGCCGCCGCCGAGGGGGAGGGGCCCGCGGCGGAGGCUCCUGGUCCCGUCUCCGAGACGGCCGACCACGCUGGCGGAGCGAGCGUCGUCAAGUCCAGCGGCCUCGGACCCGUCGUUGCGUUCUUCACCGCCGUCGUGUGCGUCGUGGCUGCUCUCUAAGACGGCCGCUCGACGAGGCGCCGCGCACCCGAGACCGGCGCACGGUGGCGUUCGAACUCUGGAGGGCAAUGCGUGCAUGGACUGGUCACUAGUGCACGACAAGCGCCGUGCAACGCAUGCACGGGGAUGAACUUGGGGAAGACUGGAGAAGCACACAAAAAGAAACGAUGUGGUCACUUACAAUUGUACUUCGAGCUUGGAUGUGUAUAUCCAUUGCCAUUCUUCAGUAGUUUGGAUUGAUUAUGUUGUGUAAUCGUUUCAAGUAAGAGACGCAAAUCCUAUGCAAGUAGGUGUAUGUUGUAUGUUAGCAUGAAAUUGUUGCUAUUGCACCCAUACAUGAUAGUUCUAUUAUUUUUUUGAAUUCUCACAACUACAUCAUAUGGGAGAAGUUUGCACUUAUUAAGAAUUAUAUUGAUGGGUUACGUUUUACCACUACACAUGAUGAUUUUGAUGGAUAUAAUAUGCAUGUGUUUGUUGAUCCUACUUGCAAUUAUUAUGAGAGAUGAACCAAAGCUUCACCUCUCUAUGUUUCCAAUAUGAUAAAAUUGCAAGGAACUACUUAUGCUAUGUGUUGGCUUUCUUAAGUAUUUCAAAGGCUUCUACACAAUCAUCAUAAAAAACAAAAGGAACAUCUUUUUGAAGAAGAAUAGUUAAUGGCCUAGAAAUCUUUGAGAAAUUAUUAAUGAAACGCUUAUAGAAAACAAAAUGACCGAGGAAACUUCUUAUACCUUUGAUAUCUUUUGGGCAUGGAAUUUUCUCUAUUGCGUCACCUUUGGCCUUAUCUACCUCAAUACCCCGUUCGGAAAUUUUAUGCCCAAGUAUUAUAUCUUCAUUUACCAUAAAGUGGUACUUCUCCCAAUUCAAGACAAGAUUGGUUUCCUCACGUUUUUGCAAAACUCGAUCAAGGUUGCUCAACAAUCAUCAAAAGAAAUCCCAUAAACGAAAAAAGUAUCCAUGAAAACCUCAACAAUCUUUUCACAAAAGCUAGAGAAUACACGAGUCAUACAUGUUUGACAUGUAGUAGGUGCAUUGCAUAUACCAAAAGGCAUACGCCUAUAAGCAUAAGUUCCAAAAGGGCAUGUAAAGGUAGUUUUAUCUUGGUCCUCUUUUGACAGAGGUAUUUGAAAGAUACCAGAAUAUCCAUCAAGAACGCAAAAGUGUGUGUCCUUAGAUAAUCUUUCUAACAUUUGAUCAAUAAAAGCCAAGGGGUAAUGAUCUUUUCUAGUAGCUUUAUUCAAUUUCCUAAAAAUCAAUUACCAUCCUAUAACUAGUUACUAUACUUUGUGGAAUAAGUUCAUUUUUUCAUUAGGAACAAUAAUUAUACCACCUUUCAAAGGAACACAAUGAACAUGACUUACCCAUCUAGUAUCGGCAAUAGGAUAAAUUAUACCUGCCUCGAGAAGUUUUAGUAUUUAAGUUCUUACCACCUCUUUCAUCUUAGGGUUGAGAUGGUUCUGAUGAUCAACGAUUGGUUUAGCAUCCGAUUCCAUAUUAAUCUUGUGCUGACAGAGAGUGGGGCUUAUGCCCUUAAGAUCAUCAAGAGUAUAACCAAUAGCAGCCAUGUGCUUCCUUACAGUUUUGAGUCAUCUCUUUGCUUCAUGCUAUGAAAUGUUAGAAGUUAUAAUAACAUGGUAUAUCUUUUUUUCACCAAGGUAUGCAUAUUUCAAAGUAUCUGGUAAAGUCUUAAGCUCAAACACGGGAUCUCCCUUGGGUGAUGGGGGAUCCCCUAAAAUGUCAAUGGGUAGGUUGUGCUUAAGGAUAUGUUGUUGAUCAAGGAAUAUGCUAUCUAUUUCAUUCCUUUCAUUCAGAUGCUUAUCAUUCUCAUGGUCUAGCAAAUAUUGUUCUAGUGGAUCGGUAGGAGGCACAACAAUAGAAGCAAGACUAAUUAUUUCAUCCUUAUUAGGCAAUUCUUUUUCAUGUGUCUAUUUACUAAACUUGGAGAAAUUAAACUCAUCACACAUAUCACCAAAGCUCAGUUUGACCGUCUGAGUAGCAUAAUUAAUUUCCGCAUUAACAGUAUUCAAGAAAGGUCUACUAAAUAUGAUGGGACAAAAAUUAUCUUGUUCUGAACCAAGUACUAAGAAAUCAGUGGGGUAGUUGACUUUUCCACACAAGACUUCAACAUCUCUAACAAUCCCACGUGGUGAAAUAGUAUCACGGUUUGCAAGUUUAAUAGUGACAUCAAUAUCUUCAAUCGUAGAGGGUGCUAUAUCAUGCAUAAUUUCUUGGUAUAAUCUAAAUGGUAUAGCACUAACACUAUCACCAAUAUCACACAUGCCACGAUAGCAAUGAUCUCCAAUUUUAACUGAGAUGACAGGCAUGCCUACCACUGGUUUAUUUUUAUCGGGUUCAAUUCGCUUGUUUCUAAUAGGUUUGGCAAUUCUAGGAGCUUCAUUAGAGAGGUAAAUAACAUGUCCAUCAAUAUUAUCAACUUGGAGAUCUUUAAGUAUAACAACAUUAGGCUCAACAUAACAACAUUAGGCUCAACAUUUAUUUGUUCAGAAGGUUUAGGUGUCCUAACAUAACUUCUAUUAACCACAUUUGUAGCCUUAGCAUGUUUCCUAAUCCUAACAGGAAAAGGAGGUUACUCAAUGUAAGCAGUAGGAACAAUUGGAUCAACAUGGUUAACAAUUAUUUCUUCCUUCUUAAUUUUAACAUGUUCCUUAGGUAGUUUUUCAAUGGGAGGAUGAUAUUUAAACCACUUCUCCUUGGAAAGCUCAACAUAGGUAGCAAAAGAUUCACACAAAGUAGCUACUAUCUCAGAGUCAAGAACAUAUUUAUUGCUAAACUCAUGGAAAGAAAUAGUUUCCAUAAAACAUUUAAUGCAACCGAAAUUAAGAUUUAUACCUGACUCUUUACCUUCGUCGAGUUCCCAAUCUUUAGAGUUGGGUUUAAUAUUUUCUAGAAGAUCCCAUCUGAAUUCAAUAGUCUCCUUCAUAUAGGAACCAACAACACAGGAAUCGAGUAAUGUUUGAUCAUCAUGAGAAAGUCGAGCAUAAAAAAAUUGUAUAAUCAAUUCUCUUGAGAGCUCAUGGUUGGGGAAAGUGUGCAACAUAGAUUUAAGCCUCCCCAAAGCUUGAGCGCUAUUUAUCCUUUGUGAGGCCACAAUUAUAAAUAAAAUUCCGAUCAUGAUGAAUUAGAUGCAUAGGAUAAAACUUCUCAUGACAUUCUAGCUUCAAGCGAUUCAAGUUUCGUGAUCCAAUAUUAUCCAAUAGCCUCAACCACAUUAAUGCUUUCCCCUCCAAAUAUAAAGGGAAAACUUUCUUCUUAACUAUGUCUCCGGGUAGACCUGAAAACUUCAAAAAUCCACAAAUCUCAUCGACAUAUAUCAAAUGGUAAUCAGGAUGAGUCGAACCGUUAUAAGGAUUAGCCAAUAGUUUCUUAACCAUACUGAAAGGAAUCUCAUAAUAAAUAUUUUUAAUAGGUUCGGUAGUUUGAGGAACACUUUCCUCAACUUCCUUUCGAGGAAAAUAUGCCCCGAACAAGCAACUCAACGGGUGACUGUUCAUAGUGACAGUCAAUAGUAAAUUUUAGCACGUGCCAAAAAUGUUUUCUUACCAAUUUCCACUUACCAAAGGAGCUUCACUCCCUAGCAACGGCGCCAUAAAAGAGUCGUGAUGACCCACAAGUAUAGGGGAUCAAUCGUAGUCCUUUCAAUAAGUAAGAAUGCCGAACCCAACGACGAGUAGUAGGAAAGGAUCAACGGUUUUCUGCAAGGUAUUCUCUCCAAGUGUCGUAAGUAACCGUAAUAGAUAAUUUUGUAGCAAGAUAAUUCGUAACAAGUGACAAGUAACAAAAGUAGAAAAGGUGAACCAAGGUAACCCAAUCCCUUUUAUAGGAAAGGACAGGCCUGAAAGUACUCUUAUAUAAAGCAAGCGCUCCGAAGCGCACAUGGGAAUUUCUGUUUAGUAAUAUUCAUCAUAUUGAGUUGAUUCGCGUUAUCUACAUUAACAAUUUGAUAUGCGGGUGGACCGGUGCUAACAUGUUGGUCUUACUUGAACAAACAACCCAUUUAUGAUCACCAUCUCUCGCAAGCAUCCGCAACCACAAAAGAAGAAUUAAGAUAAAUCUAACCAUAUCAUUAAACUUGUGGAUCCAAAUGAGCCCCUCAAGAAGCAACUCAUAAACUAGGGUUUAAGCUUCUGUCACUCUCGCAACCCAUCAUAUACUUGUUACUCCACAAUGACUUCCCUUAGGCCCAUAACAUGGUGAAGUGUCAUGUAGUCGACGUUCACAUGACACCACUAAGAGAAGUAACAACAUACAUAUCAUCAAAAUAUUGAACGAAUACUGACUUUAUAUGAUUACUUAUAACAAGACUUCUCCCAUGUCCUCAGGAACAAUAGUUAGUAUUCACACCUCAUCAAAUUGUUCAAGAUCAGAGGUGUCAUAAUAAUAAUUAAGGAUCUGAACAUAAUAUCUUCCACCAAGUAAUCCAACAAGCAUCAACUACACGAUAUAAUCAACACAACUAGUGACCCAUAGGUACCAAUCUGAUGUUUUGAGAAAAAGAUUGAAUACAAGAGAUGAACUAGGGUUGGAGAUGAGAUGGGCCUGUGAAUAUGUUGAUGAAGAUUGGUCCUACCACUAAGGAGGAAGCAUUGGUGAUUGCUACUUCUCAAACAACAGCGCCAGAAAUUGAGACGUUGACGGAGACUUGCUUGCGUUGGUUUUCCCUUGAAGAGGAAAGGGUGAUGCAGCAAAGGAGCAGUAAGUAUUUCCCUCGGUUUGAGAUCCAAGGUAUCGGUCUAGUAGGAGAGUCUCGUCAAGUCCAGAGUACCUGCGCAAACACAAACGAGCUUGCACCCAACGCUUCAAAGGGGUUGUCAACCCCUUCAAGAUUGUUUGCAAAGUGAGAUCUGAAGACGGAAAGUGCAACGAAGUAAAAAGUGUAAGGUUGAAAAUAUGGUGUGGAGUAGACCCGGGGGCCAUAGUGUUCACUAGAGGCUUCUCUCAAAAUAGCAAAUAUCACGGUGGGUGAACAAAUUACUGUCGAGAAAUUGAUAGAACCACGCAAAGUCAUGACGAUAUCUAAGGCAAUGAUCAUACAUAUAAGCAUCAUGUCCGAGACAAGUAGACCGAUACUUUCUGCAUCUACUACUAUUACUCCACACAUCGACCGCUAUCCAGCAUGCAUCUAGUGUAUUUAGUUCAUGACGAACAGAGUAACACCUUAAGCAAGAUGACAUGAUGUAGAGGGAUAAUCUCAAACCAAUGAUGAAAACCCCAUCUUUUUACCCUUGAUAGCAACAGCACGAUGCGUGCCUCGCUACCCCUUCUGUCACUGGGUGAGGUCACUGCACGGUAUGAACCCAAAACAAGCACUUCUCCCAUUGCACGAAUCAUAGAUCUAGUUGGCCAAACAAAACCCACAACUCAAAGAGAAUUAUAAGGAUAUGUAAUCAUGCGUAAGAGAGAUCAGAAGAAACUCAAAUAAGAUUCAUAGAUAAUCUGAUCAUAAAUCCACAAUUCAUCGGAUCUCGACAAACACACCGCAAAACAAGAUUUAUCGGAUAGAUCUCCAUGAAGAUCAUGGAGAACUUUGUAUUGAAGAUGCAAGAGAGAGAAGAAGCCAUCUAGUUACUAGUUAUGGACCCGUAGGUCUAUGGUGAACUACUCACGCAUCAUCGGAGAGGUCAUGGUGUUGAUGAAGAAGCCCUCCGUAUCUGAAUCUCCCCACCAACAGGGCACCAGAACGUGCCCCAGAUGGGAUCUUCCGGAGACAGAAGCUUGCGGCGGCGGAAAAGUACUUUCGAUGAUCUACUGAUUUUUUGUGGAAUUUUUGGGGAUAUAUAGGCGCAAAACCUAGGGCAAAGGAGGUCCAGGGGGCCACAAGCCUAUGGGCCCCGGCCUCCCCCUGGACGCGGUGUGGGGGCUUGUGGGGCCCCUGGUGACCCCCUGCCUUGGCUCUCAAGUCUCCCGAUCUUCUUCUGUUACGGAAAAAAUCUUUUCGGGGAUUUUAUUCCGUUUGGACUCCGUUUCAAAAUCUCCUCUGAAAGGGGUCAAAAACAUGGAAAAAACAUGAACUAGCACUUGGCACUGAGUUAAUAAGUUAGUCCCAAAAAUUAUAUAAAAGGCAUGCAAAACAUCCAAAGUUUGACAAGAUAAUAGCAUGAAACCAUAAAAAAUUAUAGAUACGUUGGAGACGUAUCAGUGAUGACGAUGGCUUUGAUUACCCCCUCCCAAAGGGAAGUUUCCCUCGCAGAAUCUCUCUGUCGGGGACAAAAGGGCCUCUACCAGAUUUCCGACUCGAGAUGACGAUGCUUCGUCCCGAAAGGUUUCUUAUGAUUUUUUUCUAGGUCAAUACACGCCAUUUAGGAGAAGAGGGACAUUAGAGGGCCCGCAAGGGGCACACAAGGCAUCAGGGCCAGCAAGGGGCACACAAUACAUUGCCUUGUGGACAACAUAUGGCUCCCCUCUGGUAUAUUUCUGGACCAAUAAAUCUUAAAUUUUCCAGAAAAAUUCUCCAUGAAAUUUCACGUCAUUUGGAGCAAGUUGUUUUUCUGUCUUUUUCUCAAUUCCUGGUCCAGAAUUCUAGUUUCAAGAUAUUUCACUCCUAGUGAUGUACCUUGCAUAUUCAGAGAGAAAGGACAUAGAAUUGUAUGAUAAUAGGGAAUAAUGGGCAAGAAUAACAUAUAUAUCAAUAAUAAUUCAUGAUGCAAAAUGGAUGUAUCAAACACGAGGGAGGGAGAUCCACCACAAGCUAGCCAGCAUUAGGAUUUCGGGCUCGGGCAUCGUCGACGACGUCUCCGCUCUUCCUCGAGGGGAUCUGCGGCCUCUACAUCGCCUACUACUAGAUCCACUCUCCCUUGCACUCCCCGCACACGACCAUCCCAUCCAUCCAUUCCCCUCUCUCGAUGUGGGCCUUUACGGCGGCGAGCAGGGUGCCGGUCAGGUUGACCCUCUAUCCCUCUACCAACAAUGGUUGUAUGCUACUGAUGUAGGAAAAAACACGCUCCACCCAUCCCCACCUCUCUUGCAAUUAGGAUUUACGCCGCCGCCACACCAAUCUUCUCGCCCGCCGACCGGUCCUUCUCACCCCUCCCCAGCGAAGCUCCGGACACCGUCAGUGACGCCAUGUACGACCACCGCGGGUAAGCCUCUCUUGCUCGCCGUGGAACCCUCGUUGAUUGACUCCCCUCGGCACACUGGCGCUUCUAUUAGCCUCUUUAGGAUCAUAGUUUACUCAUAGAUUCUGCCUUGGUGGUUCCUUAAUUGCCAUCUCCGGUGUAGAUUGCACGGUUAGCAUCUCUGUUCUGGGAUUUAGAAUCUGUAGCUUGUUUUGAUUUGAACCCAUCUUUUGUGCUAAUUAUGUAUGCAAAUAUGCAUGACAUGCCUUAUUUAGCGGGUGUGAUAAUCUGCCCAAGGUCACUUCGAAUAAUUAGCCCAAUCCUUUUGGGCUGAAUCAAAUUGCUAUUUUACUACUAGCCAUCCAUGUUUCCUGUUUCGUGAUGUACACACUCGGUCCUAAAUUAGGCAUUUACAUCAUGACAGUGGUCUCGAUGUGUAAUCCUGCAUUGGUAAUACUGAUGCAUAAAACUUGGUUUGGUGUAUGAAAUCGCCAACCUGUUUAAGUUGUUAGUAUACUUGCGGAUUUCUACAUAGUGAUGCCUUAAUCCCUUAAUCCUUUUGAACUGUUGUAGGCUUGUAGUAUCAAUUGCAGCUGGGCUUAUAUUUUGCAUUUCUGGACCAGUAUGCUGCUGAUGUUGUUGUUGAUGCCAUGUUUUUGUCUUGUCAUGUGCUGAAAUGAAGUUCUAGGAUGAGAUGCGAAUUUAUAAGUGAUGCUCCAUAACUGACAACUACUGAUUUUAAUAUGCAAACAAAUAUGGUGUUACAUAUGUUAAAUUAUAUUUUAGUUAUACUUUGUUGUAAGCUCUUGCUUAUAUUAGUGUCUUUCAUUUCUGUUCUAAUUAAUGUUGAAUUGAGAAUGAACAUAUUUCUCUCUUUUUAGACUACUAGAUUGUACAAGUUGAACAAUCUUCUCUAGUUUAAACAAGUUGGGGUCCAUCAAUACAAUAGGACUUUGUUUGUGUUUCACCUUGCUUGUAAUUAAUAUCCUUUGUCCAAAUUUACCUCGAGUUUAUCUGAACAUAAUUGAAAUGAGCGCUGCAAAGUUUCAUGCCUAAAAUAAAUUUUUACCCCAAGUCCUUAAGUAAUUAUUUUGGUUACAUCAAAGUUAGUAGAGAAUAUUAACUUGAAUAUUUUAUGUAUGCGUGAAAGCACAAUUGCUCCCUAGGCUGGUUUUGGUAAUUGAUCACAACAUAUGCAUCAUUGGACUAAUGUGUUUUCCAAGUAUAUUUUAGAAAAGUUCAAAAGAUGAUAUGGCUUAAGGUUUAUGUGGAGAUCCCUUGGAUGCAAGAAAGGAAUCGUAUUGGCUCAAGCUUCAAGCUAGAAGACUCUUCAUUUUAUAUUUGUGAGAAAUCAUAUUGAGUCCAUAGGGAAGCCAAUACUAUUAAAAGGAGGUGAGGUAGUAAAAUGAACUGAUUUCUCAAAUACUCAAAGUUAGCCACCAAAACACUCAAUCAUUUUUCCCAUAUAUCCACUCUGUCAAGUUCCACAUUCACAAAUUCGGUGUCACCAACAUUGCCACAUUAGACCCACCGAGUUUGAACCUAUGACAUAACCCUAGCCAUUCCCACCAAAUCGGUGCAACCGAAACUGCAUCGGUGCUACCGAGUUCAGUGUGACCAACAUUCUGUUGCCAAGAUAGACAAAGUCGGAAUUACCGAGUUUGAGUAUUGGUGCCACCGAGUUUGGCCAUCUGACCGUUAGUCACCUUUUCGGUGCCACCGAGUUCUAUAUAUCGGUCUCACCGAGAUUCGAAAGUUCGCCAAUUUAGUGCUAAGAAAUCAGUGGGGUACUUGACUUUUCCACACAAGACUUCAGCAUCUCUAACAAUCCUAGGUGGUGAAAUAGUAUCACGCUUUGCAAGUUUAAUAGUGACAUCAAUAUCUUCAAUCGCAGAGGGUGCUAUAUCAUGCAUAAUUUCUUGGUAUAAUCUAAAUGGUAUAACACUAACACUAUCACCAAUAUCACACAGGCCACGAUAGCAAUGAUCUCCAAUUUUAACUGAGAUGACAGGCAUGCCUACCACUGGUUUAUUUUUAUUGGUUUCAAUUCGCUUGUUUCUAAUAGGUUUGGCAAUUCUAGGAGCUUCAUUAGAGAGGUAAAUAACAUGUGCAUCAAUAUUAUGAACUUGGAGAUCUUUAAGUAUAACAACAUUAGGCUCAACAUUUAUUUGUUUAGAAGGUUUAGGUGUCCUAACAUAACUUUUAUUAACCACAUUUGUAGCCUUAGCAUGUUUCCUAAUCCUAAUAGGAAAAGGAGGUUACUCAAUGUAAGCAGUAGGAACAAUUGGAUCAACAUGGUUAACAAUUAUUUCUUCCUUCUUAAUUUUAACAUGUUCCUCAGGUAAUUUUUCAAAGGGAGGAUGAUAUUUAAACCACUUCUCCUUGGAAAGCUCAACAUAGGUCGCAAAAGAUUCACACAAAGUAGCUACUAUUUCAGAGUCAAGAACAUAUUUAUUGCUAAACUCAUGGAAAGAAAGAGUUUCCAUAAAACAUUUAAUGCAAUCGAAAUUAAGAUUUAUACCUGACUCUUUACCUUCUCAAGUUCCCAAUCUUUAGAGUUGGGUUUAAUCUUUUCUAGAAGAUCCCAUCUGAACUCAAUAGUCUCCUUCAUAUAGGAACCAACAACACAGGAAUCGAGUAAUGUUUGAUCAUCAUGAGAAAGUCGAGCAUAAAAAAAUUGUAUAAUCAAUUCUCUUGAGAGCUCAUGGUUGGGGAAAGUGUGCAACAUAGAUUUAAGCCUCCCCAAAGCUUGAGCGCUACUUUAUCCUUUGUGAGGCCAGAAUUAUAAAUAAAAUUCCGAUCAUGAUGAAUUAGAUGCAUAGGAUAAAACUUCUCAUGACAUUCCAGCUUCAAGCGAUUCAAGUUUCGUGAUCCAGUAUUAUCAAAUAGCCUCAACCACAUUAAUGCUUUCCCCUCCAAAGAUAAAGGGAAAACUUUCUUCUUAACUAUGUCUCCGGGUAGACCUGAAAAUUUAAAAAAUCCACAAAUCUCAUCGACAUAUAUCAAAUGGUAAUCAGGAUGAGUCGAACCGUUAUAAGGAUUAGCCAAUAGUUUCUCAACCAUACUGAAAGGAAUCUCAUAAUAAUUAUUUUUAGUAGGUUCAGUAGUUUGAGGAACACUUUCCUCAACUUCCGUUUGAGGCAAAUAUGCCCUGAACAAACCACUCAAAGGGUGACCGUUCAUAGUGACAGUCAAUAGUAAAUUUCAACACGUGCCAAAAAUGUUUUCUUACCAAUUUCCACUUACCAAAGGAGCUUCACUCCGCAGCAACGGUGCCAGAAAAGAGUUGUGAUGACCCACAAGUAUAGGGGAUCAAUCGUAGUCCUUCCAAUAAGUAAGAAUGUCGAACCCAACGAGAAGUUGUAGGAAAGGAUCAGCGGUUUUCUGCAAGGUAUUCUCUCCAAGUGUCGUAAGUAACCGUAAUAGAUAGUUUUGUAGCAAGAUAAUUCGUAACAAGUGACAAGUAACAAAAGUAGAAAAGGUGAACCAAGGUAACCGAAUCCCUUUUAUAGGAAUGGACAGGCCUGAAAGUACUCUUAUAUAAAGCAAGCGCUCUGAAACGCAGAUGGGAAUUUCUGUUUAGUAAUAUUCAUCAUAUUGAGUUGAUUCGCAUUAUCUACAUUAACAAUUUGAUAUGUGGGUGGACCGUUGCUAACAUGUUGUUCUUACUUGAACAAACAACCCAUUUAUGAUUACCAUCUCUCGCAAGCAUCCGCAACCACAAAAGAUGAAUUAAGAUAAAUCUAACCAUAUCAUUAAACUUGUGGAUCCAAAUGAGCCCCUCACGAAGCAACUCAUAAACUAGGGUUUAAGCUUCUGUCACUCUCAGAACCCAUCAUAUACUUGUUACUCCACAAUGACUUCCCUUAGGCCCAUAACAUGGUGAAGUGUCAUGUAGUCGAUGUUCACAUGACACCACUAAGAGAAGUAACAACAUACAUAUCAUCAAAAUAUUGAACGAAUACUGACUUUAUAUGAUUACUUAUAACAAGACUUCUCCCAUGUCCUCAGGAACAAUAGUUAGUUUUCACUCCUCGUCAACAUGUUCAAGAUCAGAGGUUUCAUAAUAAUAAUUAAGGAUCUGAACAUAAUAUCUUCCACCAAGUAAUCGAACAUGCAUCAACUACACGAUGUAAUCAACACAACUAGUGACCCAUAGGUACCAAUAUGAUGUUUUGAGAAAAAGAUUGAAUACAAGAGAUGAACUAGGGUUGGAGAUGGGAUGGUGCUUGUGAAUAUGUUGAUGAAGAUUGGUCCUACCAUGAAGUAGGAAGCAUUGGUGAUGACGAUGGCUUUGAUUUCCCCCUCCUAGAGGGAAGUUUCCCUCGCAGAAUCUCUUUGUCGGGGAGCAAAAGGGCCUCUACCAGAUUUCCGCCUCGAGAUGACGAUGCUUCCUCCCGAAAGGUUUCUUAUGAUUUUUGUCUAGGUCAAUACACGCCAUUUAGGAGAAGAGGGACAUUAGAGGGCCAGCAAGGGGCACACAGGGAAUCACGGCCAGCAAGGGGCACACAAUACAUUGCCUUGUGGACAACAUAUAGCUCCCCUCUGGUAUAUUUCUGGCCUAAUAAAUCUUAAAUUUUCUAGAAAAAUUCUCCAUGAAAUUUUAGGUCAUUUGGAGCAAGUUGUUUUUCUGUCUUUUUCUCAAUUUCCUGGUCCAGAAUUCUAGUUUCAAGAUAUUUCACUCCUAGUGAUGUACAUUGCAUAUUCAGAGAGAAAGGAUAUAGAAUUGUACGAUAAUAGGGAAUAAUGGACAAGAAUAACAUAUAUAUCAAUAAUAAUUCAUGAUGCAAAAAUGGACGUAUCAAACACGCGGGACGGAGAUCCACCACAAGCCAGCCAGCGCUAGGAUUUCGGGCUCGGGCAUCGUCGACGACCUCUCCGCUCUUCCUCGAGGGGAUCUGCGGCCUCUACAUCGCCUACUACUAGAUCCACUCUCCCUUGCGCUCCCCGCACACGACCAUCCCAUCCAUCCAUUCCCCUCUCUUGGUGUGGGCUUUCACGGCGGCGAGCAGGGUGCCGGCCAUGUUGACUCUCUAUCCCUCUACCAACGACGGUCGUAUGCUACUCAUGUAGGACAAAACCCGCUCCACCCAUCCCCACCUCUCUCGCAAUUAGGGUUUACGCUGCUGCCACACCAAUUGUCGCCCGCCAACCGGUCCUUCUCACCCCUCCCCAGCGAAGCUCCGGACACCGUCGCUGACACCAUGUACAACCACCGCGGGUAAGCCUCUAUUGCCCACCGUGGAACCCUCGUUGAUUGACUCCCCUCGGCACACAGGCGCUUCUAUUAGCAUGCUUAGGAUCAUAGUUUACUCGUAGAUUCUGCCUUGGUGGUUCCUUAAUUGCCAUCUUCGGUGUAGUUGCAUGGUUAGCCUCUCUGUUCUGGGAUUUAGAAUCUGUAGCUUGUUUUGAUUUGAAACCAUCUUUUGUGCUAAUUAUGUAUGCAAAUAUGCACGAGUGCCUUAUUUAGCGGGUGUGAUAAUUUGCCCAAGGUCAUUUCGAAUAAUUAGCCCAAUCCUUUUGGGCUGAAUCAAAUUGCUAUUUUACUACUAGCCAUCCAUGUUUCAUGUUUCGUGAUGUACACACUCAGUCCUAAAUUAGGCAUUUACAUCAUGACGGUGGUCUCGAUGUGUAAUGCUGCAUUGGUAAUACUCAUGCAUAAAACUUGGUUUGGUGUAUGAAAUCGCCAACCUGUUUAAGUUGUUAGUAUACUUGCGGAUUUCUACAUAGUGACGCCUUAAUCCCUUAGUCCUUUUGAACUGUUGUAGGCUUGUAGUAUCAAUUGCGGCUGGGCUUAUAUAUUGCAUUUCUGGACCAGUAUGUUGCUGAUGUUGUUGUUGAUGCCAUGUUUUUGUCUUGUCAUGUGCUGAUAUGAAGUUCUAGGAUGAGAUGCGAAUUUAUGAGUGAUGCUCCAUAGCAGACAACUACUGAUUUUAAUAUGCAAACAAAUAUAGUGUUACAUAUGUUAAAUUAUAUUUUAGUUAUACUUUGUUGUAAGCUCUUGCUUAUAUUAGUGUCUUUCAUUUCUAUUCUAAUUAAUGUGGAAUUGAGAAUGAACAUAUUUCUCUCUUUUUAGACUGCUAGUUUGUACAAGUUGAACAAUCUUCUCUAGUUUAAAAAAGUUGGGGUCCAUCAAUACAAUCGGACUUUGUUUGUGUUUCACCUUGCUUGUAAUUAAUAUCCUUUGUCCAAAUUUACCUCAAAUUUAUCUGAACAUAGUUGAAAUGAGUGCUGCAAAGUUUCAUGUCUAAAAUAUGUUUUUACCCCAAGUCCUUAAGUAAUUAUUUUGGUUACACCAAAGUUAGUAGAAAAUAUUAACUUGAAUAUUUUAUGUAUGCGUGAAAGCAUAAUUGCUCCCUAGGGUGGUUUUGGUAAUUGAUCACAACAUAUGCAUCACUGGACUAAUGUGUUUUCCAAGUAUAUUUCAGAAAAGUUCAAAAGAUGAUAUGGCUUAAGGUUUAUGUGGAGAUGCCCCUGGAUGCAAGACAGGAAUAGUAUUGGCUCAAGCUUCAAGCUAUAAGACUCUUCAUUUUAUAUUUGUGAGAAAUCACUAUUGAGUCCAUAGGGAAUCCAAUACUAUUAAAAGGGGGUGAGUGCUGACGUGCAACUAUUCCUGACUUGAUGCCUCCACGGCAACGGAGCCAGAAAAGAGCUUGUCCCGGUUGCUCAACAAUUAGCAAUUGUCUUGCAAUGGCCCACCAGCGCGUGGGAUCGCGGCAGUUUUUGAGGGUAGAGUAUUCAACCCAAAUUUUUUGGUUCACGCGACGGGAAGUGAAAGAAUAUUGUCAAGUAUUAGCAGUUGAAUGUGUCAGAUUCAACCACACCUGAAAGAUUAGUGUUUGCAAGCAAAGUGUCAGCAAAAAAGUAGUAUGAUAGCAACGGUGCCAGAAACGAUCUAUUGACGGCAGACUAUUCCUAACUGUCGUAUCAGUGGCGCCAGAAGUUGCCCGUGGACGGGAAAUAUUCUUUCCCGGCAACGGUGCGAGAAAAAAGUAUUGUAGCAGGUAGCAGCAGUGUAACGAGUAACAACAGUGGCAUGGAACAGCAGUAGCAAGUAGCAGCAGUAGCAAGUAACAUCAGUAGCAAGUAGCAGCAGUAGCAAGUAAUAGCAGCGGCAAGUAACAGUACUGGCAGCAGCAGCAGGACAAAGCAAGUAACAGUAGCACCAACAGUAGUAACAGCAGCAGAGGAAAACAAGUAACAGCAGUAGCAACAGUAGUAACAGUAGCAGAGCAAAGCAAGUAACAACAGCAGUGGGACAAACUCGUAGGCAAUGGGCCGGUGAUUUGUCGGAUGAUAUUCAUCAUGCAACAGUUAUAACACGGAGAGAUAUGUGGCUAGCUCCGGUUCGUCAAUGUGAUGUAGGCAUGCAUUCCGUGUGUCGUCAUACGUGCUUAGGGAAAAGAACUUGCAUGACAUCUAUUGUCCAUCCCUCCCGUGGCAGCGGGGUCCAGAAGGAUACUACGGGAUAUUAAGGUUCUCCUUUUAAUAAAGAACCGGACCAACGCAUUAGAACUUGGUGAACACAUGAACUCCUCAAACUAUGGUCUCAAACUAUGGUCAUCACCGGGAGUGGUUCCGGUUAUUGUCACUCCGGGGUUGCCGGGUCAUAACACAUAGUAGGUAACUACAACUUGCAAGAUCCGAUCUAAAACACACAUAUAUUGGUGACCACAUAAUAAUUUCAGAUCUGAAAUCAUGGCACUCGGGCCCUAGUGACAAGCAUUAAGCAAGGCAAAGUAGUAGCAACAUCAAUCUUAGAACAUAGUGGAUACUAGGGAUCAAUCCCCGUCAAAACUAACUCGAUUACAUGAUAUAUCUCAUCCUACUCAUCACCGCCCAGUGAGCCUAUGAAUAGAUUACUCACGAACGAUGAAGAGCUUCAUGGAAUUGGAGAGGGAAGAAGGUUGAUGAUGACGAUGGCGACGAUCUCCUUGAUCCGGAGCCCAAAACGGACUCCAGAUCUGCCCUCGGAUGAAGAAUAUGAUGUGGCGGCGCCUCCAUAAUGCAAACGCGAUGAAAUCUUCUCUCCUGAUUUUUUUCGAGACGAAAGGGAAUUUAUAGAGAUGAGUUUGGGGGUGGCAGAGCCACGUGGGCCCCACAAGCUUGGUUGCCGCGGUAGGGGGGCGCGGCAACAGGGCUUGUGGCCCACUAGCCCGUCCCCUCCGGUGGAUCUUUGCGCAGGUAUUUUCAUAUUUUCCAGAAAUAUUCUACGUAAAUUUUCAGGACGUUCCGAGAACUUUCAUUUCUGCACAAAAACAACACCAUGGCAAUUCUGCUGAAAACAGCGUCAGUCCAGGUUAGUUCCAUUCAAAUCAUGCAAAUUAGAGUCCAAAACAAGGGCAAAAGAGUUUGGAAAAGUAGAUACGAUGGAGACGUAUCAACUCCCCCAAGCUUAAAACCUUGCUUGUCCUCAAGCAACUCAGUUGACAAACUGAAAGAGAAAGAAAAACUUUGAAAAACUCUGUUUGAUCUUGUUGUUGCAACUAUGUCUAACUCAUAACCAAAAUUUCAGCAAGAUCACAAGUUAACCACAUCAGCAAGUGACACAAAGGUCUCACGGUAAACUAAUAUCCAUGGCAUAAACAGCUAGCGAGCAAAUAAUAAUGAGUUUCAGAUACCAACAAUUCAAUCAAAACAAGCAUGAAGCAAUAUGAAUAGGUGGUAUCUCGCUAGCUCUUUCUCAGACCGCAAAACAUAAAUGCAGAGCACUUUCAAAGAUCAAGGGCUGACUAAACAUUGUAAUUCAUAGCAACGAAGAUUCAGUCAUAGUCAUACUCAAUAUCAAUCAAAAGCAAAGCAUAAAAAUGACAGAGGUGCUCUCUAAUUGGUGCUUAUAUAAGAGGAGGAUGACUCAACAGGAACAUAAAUAGACAAGCCCUUCGCAGAGGGAAGCAUUGAUUUGCAGAGUUGCCAGAGCUCAAGCUUUGAAAACAGAGAUAAUAAUUUUGGGUGGCAUGCUUUCAUUGUCAACGCAAUGACCAAAAGUUCUCAAUAUCUUCCACGCUACUCAUGCUAUAGGGCGGUUCCCAAACACAAAAGUAAAGUUUUAACUCCCCCACCACCAAUCAAUCACACUCCACGGCUAGCCGAAUCUUCGGGUACCGUCCAUACUAACAUCAGUCCGGGGGGAGUCUUGUUUUACAGUUAUGUUUUUGAUUUAAGCGUGGAACUAGGCAUUCCAAUUAUCGGCCCCUUUCUCGUGAAUGACAUUGAAUAAACACAUGUCGAGGAUAACACGCCUAACAUGGAAGAUAUCAAUAGCCCCAUGUCAUCACAUGAGCGGUUCGGGCAAGCAAAACAGAUUAUUUCUUGAAGGUUUAGAGAAUGGCAUAGGCAAAUUUACUUGGAACGGCAUGUAGAUACCACAAAUAGGUAGGUAUGGUGGACUCUCAUGGAAAAACUUUUGGGUUUAUGGAAGUGGAUGCACAAGCAGUAUUCCGCUUAGUACAAGUGAAGGCUAGCAAAAGACUGGGAAGCGACCAACUAGAGAGCGACAACAGUCAUCAAGAUGCAAUGAGUUUGACUAACAUUGAGUGCAAGCAUGAACAGGAUAUAAAUCACCAUGAACACGAACAUCAUAGAGGCUAUGUUGAUUUUGUUUCAACUACAUGCAUGAACAUGCGCCAAGUCAAGCCACUUGAAUCAUUCAAAGGAUAAUACCAUCCUAUCAUACUACAUCAUAGUCAUCUCAAAAUCUAUGUUGGCAUUCGAGACAAACCAUUAUAAGCUCCUAGCUAAAUAAUCAUGGCAUCAGAAACUAUGAUCUCUAAGUUGUCAUUGCAAACAUGGUUCUCUCUCAACAAAGCUGAAUCUGGGACGACGAGCUAGUCAUAUUUACAAAAACAAAAUAGAUAGAGUUCCUACCAGCUUUUCCAGUCUCAGUCACUUCAUCAUAUAUCAUCAUUAUUGCCUUUCACUUGCACGAUCGAACGAUGUGAACAAUAAUAAGAGUGCUCGUGCAUUGGACUAAGCUGAAAUCUGCAGGCAAACACAAAGGAGAAGACAAAGUAGUAUGGCUCUUUGAAAGCUAAACAGGUAUGCAUGCAAGGGCCACUAAACAUUGUAACCAAUAUCUUCUACCUUGACCCAAAGAAAAGAAAACUAUUUACACGGGAAAGUUCCCAACAAGCAAAAUAAAAUCUUUUUGGGUUUUCUCUAAAGGACACAAAACAAAAAAAACAAGAAAACGAAAAGAAACUAGCAUGGAUAAUACAGUGGCAAAGUGUAAACACCGGCUAACAAAGUGAAAGCAUAAGCAUGAAUGUAAAGUCGGUGAGAACACGUACUCCCCCAAGCUUAGGCUUUUGGCCUAGCUUGGUCUACUCCCUAGGUGGGAAAUAACCAGCUCCACGGUACUCCGGAGCAGACUGUGGAUGCCACUGCUGUGUGAGCUCCUCUGGCUCCCACUGAUAAAAUGGCGUCUGGUACUCGACUGGCAGCUCGGGCACGGGCGCCUGUGGUUGGGCCAAGCCCCAAUACGCAUAGAUGUCCGAGGGCAUAAUAAUGUACAUGUCUGCAUAAAGAUCAAACAAAUAAGGAGCAGGCAAAGUAAUAGUCUCUCGAGUACCCUGACUAAACACCAGGUUAUAAAUCAUCCGUCUACUAGCAUCUCUAUCCAGAAAAUCAUGGCGAACCAUGCUGUCAUAAUCCAUAUAUUUCUCAGGAAGAAGCAUUUCUUCUUCCUCGCUAAGUCUAAUAGGUAUCUCAAAGUGUCUGGAAAGAUGAGUAGCAUAGAUACCUCCAUAGACGACACCUUUGGAACGGCUGGUGUUCAACCGCUGAGCUAUUAUAGCACCUAGGCUAUAAGUCUUAUUGCUAUAAAGACCUUCGCGCAAAACCACAAGGUCUGGAGAGCUAAGUGAUCCAGCCUCCCCACGGCCAAUCAAACAUUUUCCCACAAAUAAUGAGAAGUACCGAAGCACAGGAAAAUGUACGCUAGCAAUUCUAGCGCGAGACACUCCUCUCUCCUCUCCAACAGCAAUAGUACCUAUGAAAUCUUCCAAGUCCCGUGGACGAGGAUCAUGAAUAUCCCCAACAUAAGGUAAUUUGCAUGCAUUGCAAAAAUCAUGUAGUGUCAUGGACCAGGGGAUAUCGUGUAACAUGAACUCAACCAUAGGAGGAUUCUUGCUCGGAUAAAAGUUGAAGCUUUGAACAAAAAUAUUGGUGAGAAGGAGGUAUUGUGGGCACUUAUCUUCAACGAACGCGGUAAGGCAUCCAUUCUCCACCAAGUAAUAAAAGUCUUCAUAAAGCCCAACGGCGUGCAAAAAUUCAUCACUUGGCCACUCGCAUGCUCGAACUUGUGUGACUCGGGGGACCACGUACUUGGGGUGGUUCUUCUCAUCCUCCUUGGGAUUACGGCUUCAAGAGCCUCUCAAGAACCUCCUCAUGUUUUCCUUUUUAUGGCUCUGAAAAAUUCUGAAAUUUUUAGAGACUUCGAAAGGAAAGUGAAUAAAGAUUAACCCAACUCGUAGCAACUACUCCUACUAGUGCCUAGAGACCGUAUCACGCGCUAAAACUACUUGGGACCAGCUAAAAUCAACAUUUCAAGCUCAAGAACAGGGUCACCAAGGUAGCAAGAAUUCACGAAGGAUAAAGCACUAGAGAAAAAAACUAAUUGGACAAUGGAGGAGUCACUUACGAAGGAGUAAUUUCCCCAAAACGGUUCGGAAACUGGUGCUUUGAGCAAGGAGAUCGAAAAUCACAGCCAAAUGAGCAAGAACAUGGGUUUGAGCUGCGAAACAAUUUUUUCUCGAGGUGGAAGAAGAGGCUGGGAGCUGGAAUGAGUGGAGGGGGUGCCCGUGGGCCCCACAAGCUUGCACCCCGCCACCAGGGGGUAGGUGGCAGUGGCAGGGCUUGUGGCCCACUGGUCUGGCCCCAAGGCCAGCUCUCAUGCCGAGAAAUAUUCAAAAAUUCUAGAAAAAAUCAUACUAAAUUUUCAGGACCAUCGAAGAACUUUUAUUUUCGAGGUAUUUUUCUCCGGGACGCUAAAACAGAAAACAGGAAAACCUAAACUAAAUCUAUCAUUUUUCUUCUAAGCAAAAGAAAAGGAAAACUCAAAACAGAGGUAUGUGACUUCUUGAUUCAUUCGUUUCAUGGUCAUCGAAAGAAAUCCAUCAAUGGGGUUGAUCAAAUCCUCAUGACAAAACUUUUUCGAAUCACAAAAGAGAACGGAGAAUUUUCGAAUAGUCACUAGGUCACCUCAAUGGGGAUAUGAAUCUCCCCAACAAGCAAAUCAUACUUCAUCUUAACACGAGGAAUAGGGCAUUCAAAGCUCCCAAUAAGAAUCGAUGAAGUUUUUUCGAUAGCAUUGAUGCAACGUACUUGAUUUCGUUUCUUCGGAAAGUGCACUGUAUGCUCAUUACCGUUGACAUGGAAAGUGACAUUGCCUUUGUUGCAAUCUAUAACAGCCCCUGCCGUGUUUAAAAAGGGUCUUCCGAGGAUGACAGCCAUGGCAUCAUCCUCGGGAAUAUCCAAGAUAACAAAGUAUGUUAAAAUAGUGGUGUUAGCAACCACAACAGGCACAUCCUCGCAAAUGCCGAUAGGGAAAGCAGUUGAUUUGUCGGCCAUUUGCAGAGAAAUUUCAGUGGGUGUCAACUUGUCCAACUCAAGUCUACGAUAAAGAGAAAACGGCAUAACACUAACACCGGCUCCAAGGUCACAUAAGGCAGUUCUUACGUAGUUUCCUUUAAUGGAGCAAGGUAUAGUGGGCACUCUGGGAUCACCAAGUUUCUUAGGAGUUCCACCUUUAAAAGUGUAGUUGGCAAGCAUGGUGGAGAUCUCAAGAUCUGGUAUCUUCCGUUUAUUAGUCACGAUAUCUUUCAUGUACUUGGCAUACGGAGAUAUCUUGAGCAUAUCAGUUAACCGCAUCUGCAGAAAGACGGGUCUUAUCAUCUCAACGAAGCGCUCAAAAUCCUCAUCAUCCUUUUUCUUGGAUGGAUUAGGAGGGAAGGGCAUAGGUCUCGGAACCCAUGGCUCCCUUUCUUUACCAUGCUUCCUAGCAGUGAAGUCAUUCUUGUCGUAUCUCUUAGGUUGUGGAUUAUCAGGAUUAACCGUAGGUUCAAUCUCCACAUCCUCAUCAUUGCUAGGUUGAGCAUUAUUAUGAACAUCACUGUCCAUAUUGUCACCAGGUUCAUGUUCAUCACCAGAUUGUAUUUCUGCAUCACACGCAGAAAUAUCAUUAGGUUCUUCAGGUGUGACAGUAUUUGGUGAACUGGCGUGCAGGUUUCUAUCAUCCUUCUUCUUCUCCUUAGGAUGACUUGGUGUAUCAGCAUUGAUUCCUUGAGAAUCUUGAUCAAUUCUCUUAGGGUGACCUUCAGGAUACAAAGAUUCCUGAGUCAUUUUGCCUCCUCUAGUAAUGACUCUGACAGGGUUGUCAUUUAAUUCAUUGAGCAAGUCAUUAUGAGCUUUAAGUACUUGUUCUACCUGAGUAGUAAUCAUAGAGGCAUGUUUACUCGGAAGCUUUAGAGCAUUGACAUUUCUGUCUACACAAGCACUUAAAUGGCUAAGCAUACGAGUACUUUGUUCCAAAUGCCUCCUAACAUAAUCAUUGAAACUCUGUUGUUUGGCAACAAAGUUGUCAAAUUCAUCAAAACAUAGGCUAGCAGGUUUAUCAAAAGGAAUAUCACUCUCAUCAAACCUACGUAGAGAAUAUAAUACCUCUUUUCUUCGAAGUUGGCUUAGGAGGUGGUUCGGAAAUAGUCCAAGCAUUAUCGUUGAUCAAGAUGUUAUUCAGUAGAGUCUCAGCUUGUUCUACAGUUCGUGCCCUAUAAGCACAACCGGCACAACUAUCUAGGUGGUCUCUAGAGGCAUCGGUAAGUCCGUUAUAGAGGAUAUCAAGUAUCUCGUUCUUCUUAAGAGGGUGAUCAGGGAAAACAUUCUAUAGCUGGACGAGCCUCCCCCAAGCUUGUGGAAGACUCUCUUCUUGGAGUUGAGCAAAGUUGUAUAUUUCCUGCAAGGCAGCUUGCUUCUUAUGGGCAGGGAAAUAUUUCUCACAGAAGUAAUAUACCAUCUCCUGCGGACUACGCACACGUCCAGGAGCAAGAGAGGUGAACCAGGCUUUAGCGUCAUCCUUUAGAGAGAAAGGAAACAACUUAAGGAUAUAGUAGUGGCGGAUCUUCUCAUUAGUGAAAAGGUUGGCUAUUUCGGAUAGUUUGGAAAGAUGGGCUACGACCGUCUCAGACUCAUAACCGUGAAAAGGAUCAUAUUCGACUAGAGAGAUUAUCUCAGGGUCGACAGAGAAUUCAUAAUCCUUAUCGGUGAUAAAGAUAGGUGAAGUGGCAAACUUCGGGUCAUUUUUCAUCCUAGCUUCCCGAGAUUUUUCCUUCCACUUGAGAAGUAAUUUCUCAGCGUCAUAGGCAUCCUUACACGCAAGAAAAUCCUCAGCUAUCUCUCCCUCCAUAACGUAACCCUCAGGUAUAUCAGGCAAUUCAUAUCUAGGAGAGCUCGAUCUAGCAGGAGCAAAAGCAGGUUCUAUCUUAAUAGUAUCGGCAGUUUCAGAAGCAUCACGAGCAUUGGCAGUAACUCUAGCAAUAUGAGCAUCAAGGAAUACCCCUAGUGGAACAUCAGGCAAAGGAGUAUCUCUAGAAGUAUUAAGCAUAGCAUCAUCAGGCAAAAUAGCAUCUCUAGCAUCAUGAGGCAAAGCAGUAUCAAGCAUAGCAUCUCUAGCAGUAUCAGGCAUAACAUCACUAGCAGUAUCAUAAGCAUCAUCACGCAAAAUAGCAUCUCUAGCAGUAUCAGGCAUAGCAUCUCUAGCAGUAGCAUCAUAAGCAUCAUCAAGCACAGGCGACAUAUCAAGAUUUCUAGCAGGAGGUGAUGUCGCAAACUUACUCAUAACUGAAGGUGAAUCAAGUGCAGAGCUAGAUGGCAGUUCCUUACCUCCCCUCGUAGUUGAGGGCAAGACUUUGGUUCUUGGAUCUUUCAGAUUCUUCAUUCAGCAGAUAUAAAUCCCAAGUGACUCAAAGAAUAUAGCAAUCCUUCCCCACCAACGGCGCCAGAAAAAUUGUUGCUGACGUGCAACUAUUCCUAACUUGAUGCCUCCACGGCAACAGAGCCAGAAAAGAGCUUGUCCCAGUUGCUCAACAAUUAGCAAUUGUCUUGCAAUGGCCCACCAGCGCGUGGGAUCACGGUAGUUUUCGAGGGUAGAGUAUUCAACACAAAUUUGUUGGUUCGCGUGACGGGAACUGAAAGAAUAUUCUCAAGUAUUAGCAGCUGAAUGUGUCAGAUUCAACCACACCUGAAAGAUAGUGUAUGCAAGCAAAGUGUCAGCAACAAAGUAGUAUGAUAGCAACGGUGCCAGAAACGAUCUAUUGACGGCAAAGUAUUCCUAACUGUCGUAUCAGUGGCGCCAGAAGUUGCCCGUGGACGGGAAAUAUUCUUUCCCAGCAACGAUGCGAGAAAAAGUAUUGUAGCAGGUAGCAGCAGUGUAACGAUUAACAACAGUGGCAAGGAACAGCAGUAGCAAGUAGCAACAGUAGCAAGUAACAGCAGUAGCAAGUAGCAACAGUAACAAGUAACAGCAGUGGCAAGUAACAGUAGUGGCAGCAGCAGCAGGACAAAGCAAUAACAGUAGCACCAACAGUAGUAACAGCAGCAGAGCAAAACAAGUAAAAGCAGCAGCAACAGUAAUAAUAGUAGCAGAGCAAAGCAAGUAACAACAGAAGUGGGACAAACUCGUAGGCAAUGGGUCGGUGAUUUGUCGGAUGAUAUUCAUCAUGCAACAGUUAUAACACGGAGAGAUAUGUGGCUAGCUCCCGUUCGACAAUGUGAUGUAGGCAUGCAUUCCGUGUGUCAUCAUACGUGCUUAGGGAAAAGAACUUGCAUGACAUCUAUUGUCCAUCCCUCCCGUGGCAACGGGGUCCAGAAGGAUACUACGGGAUAUUAAGGUUCUCCUUUUAAUAAAGAACCGGACCAACGCAUUAGCACUUGGUGAACACAUGAACUCCUCAAACUAUGGUCUCAAACUAUGGUCAUCACCGGGAGUGGUUCCGGUUAUUGUCACUCCGGGGUUGCCGGGUCAUAACACAUAGUAGGUAACUACAACUUGCAAGAUCCGAUCUAAAACACACAUAUACUGGUGACAACAUAAUAAUUUCAGAUCUGAAAUCAUGGCACUCGGGCCCUAGUGACAAGCAUUAAGCAAGGCAAAGUAGUAGCAACAUCAAUCUCAGAACAUAGUGGAUACUAGGGAUCAAUUCCCGUCAAAACUAAGUCGAUUAAAUGAUAGAUCUCAUCCUACUCAUCACCGCCCAGCGAGCCUAUGAAUAGAUUACUCACGAACGAUGAAGAGCUUCAUGGAAUUGGAGAGGGCAGAAGGUUGAUGAUGACGAUGGCGACGAUCUCCUUGAUCCGGAGCCCAAAACGGACUCCAAAUAUGCCCUCCAGAUGAAGAACAGGAUGUGGCGGCGCCUGUGUAUCGCAAACGCGAUGAAAUCUUCUCGCCUCAUUUUUUUCGGGACGAAAGGGAAUUUAUAGAGCUGAGUUUGGGGGCGGCAAAGCCACGUGGGCCCCACAAGCUUGGUUGCCCCGGCCAGGGGGGCCGCGGCAACACGGCUUGUGGCCCACUGGCCCGUCCCCUCCGGUGGAUCUUUGAGCAGGUAUUUUUCAUAUUUGCCAGAAAAAUUCUCCGUAUAUUUUCAGGACGUUCCGAGAACCUUCAUUUCUGCACAAAAAUAACACCAUGGCAAUUCUGCUGAAAACAGCGUCAGUCCGGGUUAGUUCCAUUCAAAUCAUGCAAAUUAGAGUCGAAAACAAGGGCAAAAGAGUUUGGAAAAGUAGAUACGAUGGAGACAUAUCAGUGAGGUAGUAAAAUGAACUGAUUGCUCAUAUGCUCAAAGUUAGCCACCAAAACACUCAAUCAUUUUUCCCACAUAUCCACUCUGUCAAGUUCCACAUUCACAAAUUCGGUGUCACCAACAUUGCCACCUCAGACCCAUCAAGUUUGAACCUAAGACAUAACCCUAGCCAUUCCCACCAAAUCGGUGCAACCGAAACUGCAUCGGUGCUACCGAGUUCAGUGUGACCAACAUUCUGUUGCCAAGAUACACAAAAUCGGAAUUUCCGAAUUUGAGUAUCGGUGCCACCGAGUUUGGCCAUCUGACCGUUAGUCACCUUUUCGGUGCCACCGAGUUCUAUAUAUCGGUCUCACGGAGAUUCGAAAGUUCGCCAAUUUAGUGCUAAGAAAUCAGUGGGGUACUUGACUUUUCCACACAAGACUUCAGCAUCUCUAACAAUCCCAUGUGGUGCAAUAGUAUCACAGUUUGCAAGUUUAAUAGUGACAUCAAUAUCUUCAAUCGCAAAGGGUGCUAUAUCAUGCAUAUUUUCUUGGUAUAAUCUAAAUGGUAUAGCACUAACACUAUCACCAAUAUCACACAGGCCACGAUAGCAAUGAUCUCCAAUUUUAACUGAGAUGACAGGCAUGCCUACCACUAGUUUAUUUUUAUCGGGUUCAAUUCCCUUGUUUCUAAUAGGUUUGGCAAUUCUAGGAGCUUCAUUAGAGAGGUAAAUAACAUGUCCAUCAAUAUUAUGAACUUGGAGAUCUUUAAGUAUAACAACAUUAGGCUCAACAUUUAUUUGUUCACAAGGUUUAGGUGUCCUAACAUAACUUUUAUUAACCACAUUUGUAGCCUUAGCAUGUUUCCUAAUCCUAACAGGAAAAGGAGGUUACUCAAUGUAAGAAGUAGGAACAAUUGGAUCAACAUGGUUAACAAUUAUUUCUUACUUCUAAAUUUUAACAUGUUCCUCAGGUAAUUUUUCAAUGGCAGGAUGAUAUUUAAACCACUUAUCCUUGGAAAGCUCAACAUAGGUAGCAAAAGAUUCACACAAAGUAGCUACUUUCUCAGAGUCAAGAACGUAUUUAUUGCUAAACUCAUGGAAAGAAACAGUUUCCAUAAAACAUUUUCGGUGCCACCGAGUUUGGCCAUCUCACCGUUAGUCACCUUUUUGGUGCCACCGAGUUAUAUAUAUCGGUCUCACGGAGAUUUGAAAGUUCGCCAAGUUAGUGCUAAUCGGUACCACCGAGUUGUCCACUUCGGUGUCACCGAGUUUUCUCUUAUGUGUAAUGGUUGGAUUUUGGCUGCUACCUAUAUAUACCCCUUCACCCACCUCUCAUUCAUGGGAGAAGCACUCAGAAUACACACUUCAUUUCUAGAUCCAUUUUCUGAGAGAGAACCACCUACUCAUGUGUUGAGACCAAGAUAUUCCAAUCCAAUCAUUUGAAUCUUGAUCUCUAGCCUUCCCAAACUGCUUUCCACCAAAUCAACCUCUCCUACCCAUGCAUAUUCUGUGAGAGAGAGAUUUGUGUUGAGGAGACUAUCGUUAGAAGCACAAGAGCAAGGAGUUCAUUGAUCUACCCCAUCUAUUACCUUUUGGAUGGUGGUGCCUCCUAGAUUGGUUAGGUGUCGCUUGGGAGCAUCCUACUUCGUGUUCUGGAGUUGAACCAAGAUAUUUGUAAGGGCAAGGAGAUCGCCUACUUCGUGAAGAUCUACCGUGAAUAAGGCCAGUCCUCCAUGGACGGAAGCCGUGGUGGGAUAGACAAGGCCGCUUCUUUGUGGACCCUCCGUGGGUGGAGCCCUCCAUGGACUCUCACAGCUGUUACCCUCUGUGGGUUCAAAUCUCCACUAACAUGGACGCACGAUAGCGCCACCUAUCGGAACCAUGCCAAAAAUCGCCGUGUCAACCUUAUGUGUUUGAUCUCCCUUCCUUACUCCUCUAUUUACACUUGCAUCUUCACUUUCCGCUGCUAUACUAUUAGAACUGCAUGUGCAGGGUGUAUUUGACUUGUCAUAACUGUCGUAGUUGCCUCUCAAGUAAAAUUGGGAAAGGGAAAAAAAUUAUCUUGUCAAGUAGUCUAAUCACCCACCUCUAGACAUACUUUCGAUCCUACAAGUGGUAUCACAGCUUUGGUCUCCAUUUCAUUGGUUUGGCAACCUAGGAUGGUAUGGCAUCUAGUGAGGGAAAAUAUCAUCGUAGAGGUCCUUACUUCGAUGGCACUAAUUUUGCUAGUUGGAAGCAUAAAAUGAAGAUGCACAUUCUUCGCUUUAAUCAUCAUGUUUGGGCUGUUAUUCGUGUUGGUGUGCAAGGUAACUUCUUUGGAGAACGACAUGAGCCAGAUCAUGACGCGACAACUCAUGAACUCAAGAUGUUGCCAGUUAAUGCUCAAGCCUGCGAUAUCAUCUUCAACUGCCUUUGCCCCAAAGAAUUCAACAAAAUCAGUCGUCUUCAGAAUGCAAAAGAGAUUUGGGAUACGUUGGUUGAUAUGCAUGUAAGUGUUGAUUCUGUCAGAGAAUCUAAGUUGGAUGUGCUUCAAAGUCAACUUCACAAGUGCAAGAUGAAGUAUGGUGAAGGAGUCUCUCAAAUGUACUCUAGGCUAGCUCUCAUCACCAAUGACAUUGACGGCUUUGGAAGCGAAUAGAUGAUCGACAAAUUCAUCAUCAAGAAGAUACUUAGAGCUCUUGAUGGCAAGUAUGACACAGUGUGCACAUUGAUCCAAAUGAUUCCAAAUUACAAAGAUCUCAAGCCAACUGAAGUCAUUGGUAGGAUUGUUACUCAUGAGAUGUCACUCAAAGACAAAGAUGAGCUGCACAACAAGUCAAGCGGUGCUUAUAAGCUUCAUGCGAUGCUCCCGCUACUUCAAAAGACAGUCUUGUCGUUGAUGAAGAGAUAAGCUUGAUGGUCAGAAAAUUCAACAAGUUCUACAAGAUUAGAGGCAAAGAUAGAAGCUCAAGUUCAAGACAUGAGGAGAAGAGUUCGUCCAGUCGUGACCGAAACUGCUACAAUUGUGGGAAACCCGGACAAUACUCAAAUGAGUGCUCGGCUCCCUACAAAAGGAGAGAAGAGUCACCUCGAAGACGAAGCUCAAGAGAUGAGUCACCUCGCUGAGAGAGAAGGAGUAGAGAAGAUCACUAUGAAUGAAGACACUCACGGAGAGGCAAGGAAUCGGAGAAGAAGGAGAAAUACACCAAGAGCAGUUCAAGAAGAAGACAUCAAGCUCAUGUUGGUGAAUGGACUUCUGGCUCCGAAUCUGAUCACCACUCCGAGAGAAGCUAUCACUCCCACUUCGACUAUAGUCAAGAUGAAGGUGUUACCGGCAUUGCCCUUGUUUCCUCCAACUCCUACGACUUAUUUGAUUCACCAAAUGAGGGAGUCCGAAACUGCUUCAUGGCUAAAGGCCCCAAGGUAUCACACCCCGAGUAUCUUGAUUUCAAUAGUGAUGAGGAUGACUUGUUAGGAGAAGAUGAAUUGCUUCUAGAUAAAACUAGUGAUUGCACUGAAAAUGAACUUUCUAAUUAUCAUACUAGUCAAGAAAAAUCGAAUGAUGACGAUAAGAAAGAGAUUGAAUGACUAACUCAUGAAUUAUAAACUCUUAAGUUAGCUCAUGAGACUACUCUAGAAGAUCAUAGAGAGAUUGCAAGAACCCAUGAGAAGCUACGCUUCGAGAAGAUCAACUUGGAGCAAGAGCAUGAGUUCUUAAAAGCAAUCAAUGAUGACCUUCGAAAGAAGAGUUCUUCUUAUCUAGCCAAACGAUUACUCGUGUGUAAUUUUGUUCCACAAGUCAAGCCUAAGGACACUAGUAACAAACGCAAGAAGGUUUCUUCAUCUAUUAACAACAAUGCUAAAGCUAAAUCCAAUAAUGUUGUUGCUAGAAACUCUAUUGACUCCACUAACAAUUCUCUUAGCCAAGUUACAAUUGAGCAAGAAAAUGAUUUAUUGAAAGGGAUUAUAGAGAGAGGUGUCUUCAAGAGUCUUGCCGGAAGUAAGCAAUUCGAGGAAAUUGUGCGCAAGCAAGGAGGAUAUCGGAAGAAACAAGGUGUUGGUUAUUUCAACGUCAACGGAGAUGUUUGGGAACAAGGUCCAUAUACCACUCCCAAGUUUGUUCCCCAAAAGGAGAAGUCCACUCCUUCCGAAGGAACAAGCUCACAAGAUGACCUUCCACCACAAGACCACAAAGGCAAGGGAAAGCUUCAAGAUGGCAUUGACCUAUUUGAAGAUGAACCCCAAGCCAAGGUCGAGUGGGUUCCCAAGGAUACUACUAGCUCUACCUCAACAAGUGCUACAACAACUCCAAGGAUUCCCAUCAAUUUGAUGUGGAUUCCCAAGAGGAAGAACUAGAAGUUCUUGAGGGGUGACUCUGCCAAUGAAAUUCACUCUUAUUCAUUUUGGCAAGAACUAUAUGCAAUCAACCUCAACCUUAUGCAUUAGUUCAAGGAGUCACACAUUCCCACAAAGGUAAGCAAGGAACUAGGUAAUCAAUGCAUCUUCGGACAUCAUCCCAUUUGUGCCUCACUCCAUGUCCAUAGAUAUACUUGCAUAUGUUCCUUUUUGCUCUGGGACUAACCCAUGUGGGUAAGAAGAGUAUAAAAACAACAAGGAUUGCUCCCAACUCAAGAUGAUCUUCA
rnacentral:lncRNA from 1 species